UAGAUUGGUUGGGAUCUUUGUGAAGCAGCCCCACAGGGUUUCCUCUGGUUCUUUUCUACCAGGAAUAGCUGCAGCAUUUCUGCCAGAGACCUGCCUUGCAGUUCCGUGGGACAUCUCCCCGUCCUGAGCCACGGGCUCAGGCUCUGACGAGUCUGAGGUUGAGCAGCAGUAGGGGAAAGCAGCCGUUGCCAGUCACUGGAAGGGCUGCUCGGUUUGCCCAUACACAGAAAGGAAAUAUCGAUGUAAAAUGCUCUCCAGAAGUGCCCCCCAUUCAAGCCGCCCGAGUCAAAGAAACUAACAAACAGAACAUUAUUAUAGAAAAAUGAGGGCUCUGAGAAAUCAGCAACUGGAAGAUAACUCUGUAACUAAUAAAUGAAAAGAGCCUUUUGAUGGCUCCAGCUGAAAAGAUAUUUUAUUUUUUAUUUUUUUCUCCUGUGUGUGGGAUUUGAGAUGUGUGAUUCUAUGGAGCAGCCAGGCACCCCUGCUGCUAGGCCCUGGCUAGGAGUUGGCCCCCCUCUGGCAAAUGUUAUGGAGAAUUGGGAGGAAUUUUAUGGCUGUCUUUUCCCUCAGCUCUUUUUUCUUUUGUCUUCUUUGAAGAAUGACUUUAGACAUUUUAUUUACAUAUUUAACCAUGGAUGAAAGAGGAAAAAGAAAGCAUUUGGGCCGUUGUGGGAAUAGCGAUAUGUUUAAAUUAAUGGAAAUCUUAUUAGGCCUCUAAAAUUUUAAGCAAAAGGUUUUUAAUGAAACUUUAUAAUUAAACAUGAUUUCAAAUAAUGUGCCAACUCGCAGGAAAAGAAGCGUCUUCCCCUAUCCCUAUCCCUCUGCCUCUAAAGUUGCCAGAGAAUAAAUGUGCAUCUCAAAGUCCUUUCCCAUUUCACAAGCAAAAUAAUAAUAAUAAAUAAAUGGAAUAUUUUAUAAGGCAUGUCAUAAUAUAAACCAUAACUACAGAUUUUGUAGAUGUACUGUAGCAUAAACAGGGUAGAAAAAACCAAACCUGGAAUAGCAAAGUUUGGACACUGUGUAAUCUAUUGCAGUGAACGUAGAAUAAAAUACUUUGAUAUGGAUAAUAAUAAAAAUCAAAGUUGCAUGUAUAUUCUAACAUUUUAGAGUCAAUAGAUGUUACAGUUCUAGGCAAGGUUUUCUGAAAUGGGAUUAAAGAAAACCUAAAUAAUCCUUUUCAGAUAAAAUGUUCUGACACUUCACAGUAAAGAGAAAUUAAAUGAUAAGCUUGGAGAGUUACAAGUUAAUUAAUAUAUUAAAGAUUUUUCAGUAGAGCAUUCAUAAAUUACCUACCAUAACAACAAAGUAUACUGAUAUUAGUGAAUCUAAAAUACAAAAAAGUCUCUGGCUGUGCUUGCAAAUCAUUUAAUGAAUCUUUUCUGGUUAGCAGUUGAUGGAGGAAAUACUUUAUUUUUUAAAGAAGAUCAGUUGAAUAAUAUUUUGUCCUCUGCUUCAGUAAUCCAUCUAUGUUCAGUUUAAGACAAGCAAUUUUUAGCUUCCUGUGCCUGAUACAUAAUGAAGGCGUGUUACUAGCCUUCAUUUUCAUUUGGAUAGCUCAUUCUAAAGAUCAAAUAAUAAUAAAAAAACCCAAAGUUAUCCUUGAAGAAGAUUGUGGCUCUUAAGGAAAAACAACAGCACACCCAAAAAGGGACACUGUAACUAUUACAAUCUGUCUCCCCUAUUUAAUUCCCAGAUAAGAUAUUGAUCAUGACAUUAAAUUGGAUCAUUUAUAAAAAGUCUGCAGCUAAUGUUUAUUUUUAAAACCAAUCCAAGUUACGCUUUUUUUUUUUCUCCUCUAAAUCCAGACUUUCUCUAACUACUUUGCAACAAUAUUUAAUAAACAAAACAUGUCUGAUUGGUAGGGCAGGCAUAGUGCAGCAUAUUCCCAUGGAAGUGCAGAAUAUUUACUGUGCGCAAAAGUUUUAAUUACAUUAAAAAAAAACAACCCACACAUCAUGAGUAAGUAAAAGAUUAAAAAUCAAAAAACAAACCCCACAUCAUAAAUGGAUGAGUGGGUUGUAUAGUGUUGCUCUAAUACAAUUUAGCCGGCUAUUUUAAGGGCACUUCCCUUGAAAUGUGGUUUGAAAUAUUACCAAAGGUUCGACGGGGUGCAUUAGUGUGAAUUGCAAAUCAGAACAUUUCUUUAAUCCCCUUUUCAUGGCCUGGCUUCGGAUCAGUGGCAUCUAAGGGACUCCCCACUGAUCCUGGCUCAGGAGGAACCAUUCACUAGGGCAGCUUCUCUGCUCUAUUCCCACAGUCCAGAAAACAACACCACAGACAGACACCCUCCAACUAAAUUAGAUUAAACUCCUUCUCUUCCACAGCACAUUAGCCUUUUCACUGCCCAAGAUUCGUUAUUCAGCUACUCCUAAUUUUAAAGAUACAGUAUUUUUUCCCUCCUAGGAACAAAAAAGCAAAAAUUCAUCUACCCCCCGUGACUUGCAAAGCACUCGUAAAAGUAGCCAAAUACCAUCCUUAGAUAUAAUCCUUUAAAAUUACAAGGGCUUUUAUCAGUUUAAAGUAGAGGCCACAUUGCAGCAUGUUUAUCCAGAACGCAAACGGGCAGGUCCAGUAAAAAGCAUGCAAAGUUAGAUCUCUGAUAUUCAACUUUAUUUAAAUGUCACUCAUAGAAAUGCCCAGUUAUACAAUAAAACAACAAACCUUAUCACCCAGCAAAAAUCUCUCCCAUUUAAUUAGUUUAGAAGUAUGCUAAAAAUCACUGUGACACUUGUACAGUGAUAUUUGGUUUGCCUUUUUUUCCCCCCCUCGUGCACUUUUUAUGUAAUGACUUCCAGCGAGAUCUGGAUUAGAGAAGACAUAAGCACUAGUAAAACUUUACUUUGAAAGUCAGCUAAUUGGAUCCCUUCCAGC